AGCUUUGUGCAAUGGCAGUAUCAUAGCCAAUGAGGUUAAUCUUAGGUACAAUUAUUGCUCGUUGAAAAAAAAAAAAGUGACUGCCCAGUGUUUCAAUGGAAGAAAUAGACAUGUAAUCAAAACAGCUGCACACCCUGCA
rnacentral:snRNA from 1 species